AUUGAACGCUAGCGGGAUGCUUUACACAUGCAAGUCGAACGGCAGCGCGGACUUCGGUCUGGCGGCGAGUGGCGAACGGGUGAGUAAUGUAUCGGAACGUGCCCAGUAGCGGGGGAUAACUACGCGAAAGCGUAGCUAAUACCGCAUACGCCCUACGGGGGAAAGCAGGGGAUCGUAAGACCUUGCACUAUUGGAGCGGUCGAUAUCGGAUUAGCUAGUUGGUGAGGUAACGGCUCACCAAGGCGACGAUCCGUAGCUGGUUUGAGAGGACGACCAGCCACACUGGGACUGAGACACGGCCCAGACUCCUACGGGAGGCAGCAGUGGGGAAUUUUGGACAAUGGGGGCAACCCUGAUCCAGCCAUCCCGCGUGUGCGAUGAAGGCCUUCGGGUUGUAAAGCACUUUUGGCAGGAAAGAAACGGCGCGGGCUAAUACCCCGUGGAACUGACGGUACCUGCAGAAUAAGCACCGGCUAACUACGUG
rnacentral:rRNA from 1 species